rnacentral:rRNA from 1 species
GGACUACUAGGGUUUCUAAUCCUGUUUGAUCCCCACGCUUUCGUGCCUCAGCGUCAAUUGCACCAUAGUAAGCUGCCUUCGCAAUUGGUGUUCUGUGACAUAUCUAUGCAUUUCACCGCUACUUGUCACAUUCCGCCUACCUCUAGUGUAUUCAAGCCCAUCAGUAUCAAAGGCACUGCGAUAGUUAAGCUACCGUCUUUCACCCCUGACUUAAUAGGCCGCCUACGCACCCUUUAAACCCAAUAAAUCCGGAUAACGCUUGGAUCCUCCGUAUUACCGCGGCUGCUGGCAC